GGCUCAGGACGAACGCUGGCGGCGUGCUUAACACAUGCAAGUCGAACGAUGAAGCCCAGCUUGCUGGGUGGAUUAGUGGCGAACGGGUGAGUAACACGUGAGUAACCUGCCCCUGACUUCGGGAUAACUACGAGAAAUCGUGGCUAAUACCGGAUAUGACACGUGCCUGCAUGGGUGUGUGUGGAAAGAUUUAUCGGUUGGGGAUGGGCUCGCGGCCUAUCAGCUUGUUGGUGGGGUGAUGGCCUACCAAGGCGACGACGGGUAGCCGGCCUGAGAGGGUGACCGGCCACACUGGGACUGAGACACGGCCCAGACUCCUACGGGAGGCAGCAGUGGGGAAUAUUGCACAAUGGGCGCAAGCCUGAUGCAGCGACGCCGCGUGAGGGAUGACGGCCUUCGGGUUGUAAACCUCUUUCAGUAGGGAAGAAGCUCUUC
rnacentral:rRNA from 1 species